rnacentral:rRNA from 1 species
UACGGAGGGUGCAAGCGUUAUCCGGAUUCACUGGGUUUAAAGGGUGCGUAGGCGGGUAAGUAAGUCCGUGGCGAAAUCUCUGAGCUUAACUCAGAAACUGCCGUGGAUACUAUUUGCCGUGAAUAUUGUGGAGGUGAGCGGAAUAUGUCAUGUAGCGGUGAAAUGCUUAGAUAUGACAUAGAACACCAAUUGCGAAGGCAGCUCACUACACAAUCAUUGACGCUGAGGCACGAAAGCGUGGGGAUCAAACAGG